AUAAGUCAAGAUGUUUGCAAAGAUGCACAAAAACUACGUGUAUUCGUAAAUAUUUGUGCAAAUGUUUCCAUCCGUGUUUUAAUUCUACAUUAAAUAAUGUUCACGGGUGAAGAACUAAAAGGGCGCAAACUAUGCAUAUUUAAACAACUCCCACUUCAUGUGCUAAGAUACUUAACCCAGAUUAUCACACGGUCACUGAGUCAGAGGCUGAGUUGAGGCAAAAAAAAGUUUCUCGUAUAAAAAUGGAGUGGUCAAAUGCGUCAGUAAUAGAAUUUCUGGAGUUAUUGCAAGGGGAACCAAUCCUAUGGAAACAUAGGACUAAUAGUACAAAUCACAAGAAUCGAAAUUUAAUCAAGGAUGCAUGGAUCCGUAUUAAAACUGAUUUUUCUAUGGAAUGCACAAUCGAAGAGUUAAGGAGGAAGAAAAAUACUCUGUUUACACAGUACAGGGAUUACUUGAAGAAAAUUAGAGAUUCUACAAUGUCAGGAUCCCGAGAAGACGACAUCUACCGACCUACGUGGUUUGCUUUCGAUUUGAUGAAUAGCUAUUUGGGUGAAGUCUAUGAACCCCAACCCAUAGUUUUCAUUGAGGAUCCGACGUUAGAUGCGAGUGAAUCACAAAGCGAUGUAGAUGAAUGUAGUGAAUAUCUCAAGGACAACAUUUCGGUGUUGCAAAGAGAGAAAUGGAUGAAUAUUCGAAUUAUCGAAUAUUAAAUCAUAAAAAUAGAUCAAUGCAAAAGGAUAUUCCCAAAGUUGCAGACGAAUGUGACAUUUACGUCGAACUUUUAGCACGGAAAUUAAAGAAAUUAGAUGAAGAUGAUCGAUUAAAGUUGAUGAAUGAUAUUGACAAUUUAACGUAUAAAUGUAUAAUUGAAGCAAAGGCGCGGAAUCGCCUACCCUCAUCUUCCACAACAGGAUCUCAAAUAUCGAACUCAAAUGAUGCAGAAGAUACCAAAUACUUGAUGUGACAUCUCCUGCUCAGUUUGAAAAUUCAAUCUCCAAAGCAUAGAAAAACAAAGUCAACUCAACAAAAACAGUUCGUUGAACCUUGUUAGAUCUAAGUAAAUAUUACUUAUAAAGCUUCACCAAAA